rnacentral:rRNA from 1 species
AUUGAACGCUGGCGGCAGGCCUAACACAUGCAAGUCGAACGAGUGGCGGACGGGUGAGUAAUGUCUGGGAAACUGCCCGAUGGAGGGGGAUAACUACUGGAAACGGUAGCUAAUACCGCAUACCAUCGGAUGUGCCCAGAUGGGAUUAGCUAGUAGGUGGGGUAACGGCUCACCUAGGCGACGAUCCCUAGCUGGUCUGAGAGGGUGACCAGCCACACUGGAACUGGGAAACGGUCCAGACUCCUACGGGAGGCAGCAGGGGGGAAUAUUGCACAAUGGGCGCAAGGCUGAUGCAGCCAAGCCGCGUGUAGGGAGAAGGCCUUCGGGGUGUAAAGUACUUUCAGCCGGGAGGCGUUAAUCGCAGAAGAAACACCGGCUAACUCCGUGCCAGCAGCCGCGGUAAUUC